rnacentral:rRNA from 1 species
GAUGAACGCUGGCGGCGUGCCUAAUACAUGCAAGUCGAGCGAACAGACGAGAGUGCUUGCCCUCUCUGACGUUAGCGGCGGACGGGUGAGUAACACGUGGGUAACCUACCUAUAAGACUGGGAUAACUUCGGGAAACCGGAGCUAAUACCGGAUAAUAUUUAGCUUCGCAUGAAGCAAUAGUGAAAGACGGUUCUGCUGUCACUUAUAGAUGGACCCGCGGUGUAUUAGCUAGUUGGUGAGGUAACGGCUCACCAAGGCAACGAUACAUAGCCGACCUGAGAGGGUGAUCGGCCACACUGGGACUGAGACACGGCCCAGACUCCUACGGGAGGCAGCAGUAGGGAAUCUUCCGCAAUGGACGAAAGUCUGACGGAGCAAUGCCGCGUGAGUGAAGAAGGUUUUCGGAUCGUAAAACUCUGUUGUAAGGGAAGAACAAGUACGUUAGUAACUGAACGUACCUUGACGGUACCUUACCAGAAAGCCACGGCUAACUACGU